UUGGAGGGCAAGUCUGGUGCCAGCAGCCGCGGUAAUUCCAGCUCCAAUAGCGUAUAUUAAAGUUGUUGCAGUUAAAAAGCUCGUAGUUGAAUUUCGGGGUCAGUAGGUUGGUCGUACCACUGGUAUGUACUGGUCUCACUGAUUCCUCCUUCCUGAUGAACUGUAAUGCCAUUAAUUUGGUGUUGCAGGGAAUCUGGACUGUUACUUUGAAAAAAUUAGAGUGUUUAAAGCAGGCUAACGCCUGAAUACAUUAGCAUGGAAUAAUGAAAUAGGACGUUCGAUCCUAUCUUGUUGGUUUCUAGGAUUGACGUAAUGAUUAAUAGGGAUAGUUGGGGGCAUUAGUAUUCAAUUGUCAGAGGUGAAAUUCUUGGAUUUAUUGAAGACUAACUACUGCGAAGGCAUUUGCCAAGGAUGUUUUCAUUAAUCAAGAACGAAAGUUAGGGGAUCGAAGACGAUCAGAUACCGUCGUAGUCUUAACCAUAAACUAUGCCGACUAGGGAUCGGAUGAUGUUAAUUUUUUAAUGACUCAUUCGGCGCCUUACGGGAAAC
rnacentral:rRNA from 1 species